rnacentral:rRNA from 1 species
GAUGAACGCUGGCGGCGUGCCUAACACAUGCAAGUCGAGCGAAGCGCUUAAAUUAGAUUUCUUCGGAAUGACGAUUUUUGUGACUGAGCGGCGGACGGGUGAGUAACGCGUGGGUAACCUGCCUCAUACAGGGGGAUAACAGUUAGAAAUGACUGCUAAUACCGCAUAAGACCCCAGCUUCGCAUGAAGCGGUGGUAAAAACUCCGGUGGUAUGAGAUGGACCCGCGUCUGAUUAGCUAGUUGGUAAGGUAACGGCUUACCGAGGCGACGAUCAGUAGCCGACCUGGGAGGGUGACCGGCCACAUUGGGACUGGGCCACGGCCCAGAAUCCUACGGGAGGCAGGAGUGGGGAAAAUUGCACAAUGGGGGAAACCCUGAUGCAGCGGCGCCGGGUGAAGGAGGAAGUAUUUCGGUAUGUAAACUUCUAUAAGCAGGGAAAAAAGGGACGGUACCUAACUAAGAAGCCCCGGCUAACUCCGG